rnacentral:rRNA from 1 species
GAUGAACGCUGGCGGCAUGCCUAAUACAUGCAAGUCGAACGAGAGGAAGGAAAGCUUGCUUUUCUGAAUCUAGUGGCGAACGGGUGAGUAACACGUAGGUAACCUGCCCAUGUGCCCGGGAUAACUUCUGGAAGCGGAUGCUAAAACCGGAUAGGUAGCAGACAAGCAUUUGACUGCUAUUAAAGUGGCUAAGGCCAUGAACAUGGAUGGACCUGCGGUGCAUUAGCUAGUUGGUGAGGUAACGGCCCACCAAGGCGACGAUGCAUAGCCGGCCUGAGAGAGCGGAAGGCCACAUUGGGACUGAGACACGGCCCAAACUCCUACGGGAGGCAGCAGUAGGGAAUUUUCGUCAAUGGGGGGAACCCUGAACGAGCAAUGCCGCGUGAGUGAGGAAGGUCUUCGGAUCGUAAAGCUCUGUUGUAAGAGAAAAACGACAUUCAUAGGGAAUGAUGAGUGAGUGAUGGUAUCUUACCAGAAAGUCACGGCUAACUACGUGCCAGCCGCCGCGGUAAGAC